AAAGAGGAGAAGGAUUACUGAGACAAAUCCAGCUUGGAGAAAGAUGAUCAGCAUCCAAACACAAGAGGAUCAUUGGUUGAACAUGGACAACAGAUGGAAGAAGGUCAGUGCUGCUUGUUUCAGUGUUUCUCCAUCACAGCACAACAUGAUUGUGGUGAAGCUGCUGCAUCCUGAAGCAAAGUUUUCAGCAGAGAGUCUCACCCUGAACAAGGAGCCCCAGGGUGGCCAGCAGUAGAGUCAGGGACAUCAUCAUUGUGCUGCGGGCGUGUCAGAGUCUGUGAAAGGUCUGGACAGACUCUGAUCAACACUGGCCUCUUAACGUGUGGAGCUCAGAGGCAGGACACAUAUGCAAACACAUUACAGAGCUGAUCAUCAGUGGAUCAAUCACGUCAUCAGUUUAUUGAUCACAAAUGAGUCCUGACUGUCUUUAUAGAUUUAUUGUCUCUGAAAAUAUUUUUUUACAGAAAUGUGUUUUACAUCCAGAACAUUUACUUUUAUUUUCACAUAUUUAAAAAAAUAAUGAAGCCAAAUUUAUAUAUUGAUGAUGUUAAUUUUCAUGUGAAGCAGCUGUUUGACUCACUGAGACUGUUUGUGUUGAGUUUGUUUGUUUCAGAGUCAGAGAGUCGUGUCUCUCUACAGUCAGAGGUUUUUGUACGGCGGCUCAAUCAGUUUAUAUCACUGUGGUGGACUUUUGGUGGAGGAACCAGACUGGAAUUUGGACGUGAUGUCCGUCCCUCCCUGACGGUGCUGUCCCCCUCCACAGAGGAGCUGCAGCAGGGGAAGGCCACGCUCAUGUGUCUAGCCAACAAGGGCUUCCCCUCAGACUGGAGUCUGUCCUGGAAGGUGGACGGCAGCAGCAGCAGCAGUAUCAGCUGGGAGGAGAGCAGGAGCCCCGGGGUGCUGCAGGAGGACGGCCUCUACAGCUGGAGCAGCACCCUGAGGCUCCCUGCAGACCAGUGGAGGAAGGUGGGCUCUGUGAGCUGUGAGGCCACCCAGGGCUCCCAGACUCCACUCUCAGAGACACUGAGGAGAGACCAGUGUUCCCAGUCCUGACCUCACCCACUGGGAACAUCACACUGGUUCUGUUCUGAUACUGUUCUCUGUUUGCUCUGUUUCUGUCAUUCUUCCUGUUAUUAGACUCAGUAAAGAUU